rnacentral:lncRNA from 1 species
AUCUGAUGAUGACGUCGUGCAGUGCCUCACGGAAGGCAGAGCCUGAGGCAAGUUUUACAACCGAUCAACUCUGUCCAGUAAUACCACAGCAAGGUAAUCUAAUUGUGAAUGUGAACCAGUCACUUCAUCUUCCAUUAGAGUGAACAUAGAUUAUGCAUAUAUUUAAAAUGAUAUUAUAUGAAUAGAAAUAAUUCCAACCUUUCCCUAAGUUACUUGCUAAAAAAUAAAUGUAUAAUAUGUGAGGAUAAUAGUUGAUCACAGAGGAUUAUUUGCAAAUAUAUAUCUUAACUUUUACACUCACAUUGAUCCAUAUGUUUAGUGUUUUAUGCAUUUCUCUCUGUGACAGCAUCAACAUGUGGGCAAAUUCCUGAAUCCAGUUUUCAAACAUACACUCACAGUCAUGAGGUAGAGGAGUUAAUCUCCUUGAGUUAUAGUCAGUUAUGUGAGAUGGUACUUAGUUAUCAUGUGGGCAUCUUCAUUUGGCCAUCUCCUGGGUAAAUGGCAGAGAUAUCUGAUGGUUAAUGAUUAUUCAGAGCCAUAUUAUGCUAGAAUGGUUAGCUAAGUGAAUAAUGUAUCUUAUCUCUAUUUUUUUUCUUGACCCUUCAACAUUAGCUCCCUUUGCUAUUUAGGAUAAGCAGAGAUGGUGUAAUCUUAAGACUUUGGAUUUGUGGACUUUGAAGUUUUCUCAGCACAAUAAGCUCUUUUUCUACUGUGUCUACUUUUGCCACGGGCCACCGCUCAUUGUACAACCAGCAUGCGGUUCCCUGAAGUAAACCUUCCUGAGAGUCUGUAAAAAGAGAAUCUAAGGAAAUAGAGCCCUUCAUCAAAAGAUUUCCGCAUGAGCACGCAUUCAAUUCUCCACUGUUUUGAUAAGAUGAAUCAUGUGUGGAUAAAUUGUGGAUCACAUUUAUCUUUUGAAACUUACUACUUAAGGAGGAAUGUACCACAAGGAAAGGCCUUGGAAGAUUAUGGGAAAGGAAGAGGACAGAGAAUUUGUAAAUGUCUGCGAGUUGGAAAAAGCCUAGUAUACUUUAAGAAGGGAAAGAAGAACAACGUGAAUGUAGGAAAAGCAACUCCAGCACUCUUGUCAACAUUCUGUGCAUUCAUGUAA